rnacentral:tRNA from 1 species
GGAAUUGUGGCUCAAAGGUAGAGCUCACGCCUUACACAUGAGAGGCACUGGGUUUGAUCCUCAGCACCA